rnacentral:lncRNA from 1 species
GGUCCCCUACCUCCCAGGCCACUGUUCUUUCCUUUUGGUCACGUUGCUUCUCUCAUUUCUUUAGAGAAGAAUGGGAGAGGACACUGGUUUGAUCUCAUGGCUAAGCGACUGAAGUGCAAGACUGGUCGAGUUCAAAGAUAUUUUAAGUUGAGGCAGACAAGAAAAUGAUAUAGAACAGAAUAACAAAACCCAGGCAAGCGUGGAGACCAAAGGAAGGAUUGAACACAGAAGCAAUAUCCAAGUAGGACAACACUUGGCAGAAGAAUCAAGAUGAUUUAUAUGUGAAUGAGAUAGUCUUGGGCUGGAAAACCCUUUACCCAUUGGUCCUGGAGGGUUUGAGAAUUCCUACAGAUAUGGGCUUAGUAGAGCAUUCAUCUGAGCAACUACGUCCAAAGCUGGUCCAUCCCUACAGAGCAACUUCCAGAAGCCAAGAUGAGCCUCGGGUAGCCUUUCGGCUCUCACCAUUAGAUGUGGCCUACAAUCAAAUGACCUAAAAUAUGAUCAUCUUCAUGUAUCCCCGUACUUGUCAAGGAGGUCUCUGAUUCUGGUGAAGAUAGAGAAGAAAUUGUGACCAUAUCCCGGAGAGGUGAUUAUUCGUGAACCCUCUCUUAAAUAUUCAGUAUUUUAAAUUUUCUUCUGCCUAUCCCAACCACCUCACCUCACCUAAAGAUUUCCUGAACAGAAAAGCCUUUAAACUAGACAGGCACAAUGGCCUUUGACCUAGCGAUAGUACUAAGCCUGAUUCACAUGGAAAAUUAAUUUUAGUGGUCUUGGAGAAAGACUCUAUUCAGCUUCUCAGCUUUAAGGACCAGCUAGCAUCCUUGGGUGGAAUAGG